rnacentral:rRNA from 1 species
AUUGAACGCUGGCGGCAGGCCUAACACAUGCAAGUCGAGCGGUAGAGAGGUGCUUGCAUCUCUUGAGAGCGGCGGACGGGUGAGUAAUGCCUAGGAAUCUGCCUAGUGGUGGGGGAUAACGUUCGGAAACGGACGCUAAUACCGCAUACGACCUACGGGAGAAAGCGGGGGAUCUUCGGACCUCGCGCCAUUAGAUGAGCCUAGGUCGGAUUAGCUAGUUGGUGAGGUAAUGGCUCACCAAGGCGACGAUCCGUAACUGGUCUGAGAGGAUGAUCAGUCACACUGGAACUGAGACACGGUCCAGACUCCUACGGGAGGCAGCAGUGGGGAAUAUUGGACAAUGGCGAAAGCCUGAUCCAGCCAUGCCGCGUGUGUGAAGAAGGUC